AGAGUUUGAUCCUGGCUCAGGACGAACGCUGGCGGCGUGCCUAAUACAUGCAAGUAGAACGCUGAAGAGAGGAGCUUGCUCUUCUUGGAUGAGUUGCGAACGGGUGAGUAACGCGUAGGUAACCUGCCUUGUAGCGGGGGAUAACUAUUGGAAACGAUAGCUAAUACCGCAUAACAAUGGAUGACACAUGUCAUUUAUUUGAAAGGGGCAAUUGCUCCACUACAAGAUGGACCUGCGUUGUAUUAGCUAGUAGGUGAGGUAAUGGCUCACCUAGGCGACGAUACAUAGCCGACCUGAGAGGGUGAUCGGCCACACUGGGACUGAGACACGGCCCAGACUCCUACGGGAGGCAGCAGUAGGGAAUCUUCGGCAAUGGGGGCAACCCUGACCGAGCAACGCCGCGUGAGUGAAGAAGGUUUUCGGAUCGUAAAGCUCUGUUGUAAGUCAAGAACGGGUGUGAGAGUGGAAAGUUCACACUGUGACGGUAGCUUACCAGAAAGGGACGGCUAACUACGUGCCAGCAGCCGCGGUAAUACGUAGGUCCCGAGCGUUGUCCGGAUUUAUUGGGCGUAAAGCGAGCGCAGGCGGUUUGAUAAGUCUGAAGUUAAAGGCUGUGGCUCAACCAUAGUUCGCUUUGGAAACUGUCAAACUUGAGUGCAGAAGGGGAGAGUGGAAUUCCAUGUGUAGCGGUGAAAUGCGUAGAUAUAUGGAGGAACACCGGUGGCGAAAGCGGCUCUCUGGUCUGUAACUGACGCUGAGGCUCGAAAGCGUGGGGAGCGAACAGGAUUAGAUACCCUGGUAGUCCACGCCGUAAACGAUG
rnacentral:rRNA from 1 species